GACGACCGCUGGCGGCGUGAAUAAUACAUGCAAGUAGAACGCUGAAGAGAGGAGCUUGCUCUUCUUGGAUGAGUUGCGAACGGGUGAGUAACGCGUAGGUAACCUGCCUUGUAGCGGGGGAUAACUAUUGGAAACGAUAGCUAAUACCGCAUAACAAUGGAUGACACAUGUCAUUUAUUUGAAAGGGGCAAUUGCUCCACUACAAGAUGGACCUGCGUUGUAUUAGCUAGUAGGUGAGGUAACGGCUCACCUAGGCGACGAUACAUAGCCGACCUGAGAGGGUGAUCGGCCACACUGGGACUGAGACACGGCCCAGACUCCUACGGGAGGCAGCAGUAGGGAAUCUUCGGCAAUGGGGGCAACCCUGACCGAGCAACGCCGCGUGAGUGAAGAAGGUUUUCGGAUCGUAAAGCUCUGUUGUAAGUCAAGAACGAGUGUGAGAGUGGAAAGUUCACACUGUGACGGUAGCUUACCAGAAAGGGACGGCUAACUACGUGCCAGCAGCCGCGGUAAUACGUAGGUCCCGAGCGUUGUCCGGAUUUAUUGGGCGUAAAGCGAGCGCAGGCGGUUUGAUAAGUCUGAAGUUAAAGGCUGUGGCUCCACCCAUAGUUCGCUUUGGAAACUGUCAAACUUUGAGUGCAGAAGGGGAGAGUGGGAUUCCAUGUGUAGCGGUGGAAAUGCGUAGAUAUAUGGAGGGAACACCGGUGGCGGAAGCGUCUCUUUUUUUUGUAUCUUACGCUGAGGGGGCGAAAAGCGAAGGGAGGAAAAAAAAAAAAAUACCCUGCUCAUCAAAAGACAAAUUUUCACUAUUAAAGAUAAAGCCCCCCCGCGCCCGCCCCGCGGCGGGGUGGCCCCCCUUUUCUGUUUUUGUUGCCCCUCUUAGCAGUUUCAGAACCACGAAGAGAAAACAAAGGGGGGGGGGGGGGGGGGGGGAUCAGUUUUACUUAUACAUCAUGCUCGCCUCCACUCCACUCUAUUGUGUAC
rnacentral:rRNA from 1 species